GCGUGAUUAGUUAAGUGGCAGAACGACGCAUUGCCAAUGCGUAAACGGGAGUCCAAUUCUCCCAUCACGCA
rnacentral:tRNA from 2 species